AGUGAACGCUGGCGGUAGGCCUAACACAUGCAAGUCGAACGGCGGCACAGUAAGAUCUUGCUCUUACGGGUGGCGAGUGGCGGACGGGUGAGGAAUACAUCGGAAUCUACUUUUUCGUGGGGGAUAACGUAGGGAAACUUACGCUAAUACCGCAUACGACCUACGGGUGAAAGCAGGGGAUCUUCGGAUCUUGCCCGAUUGAAUGAGCCGAUGUCGGAUUAGCUAGUUGGCGGGGUAAAGGCCCACCAAGGCGACGAAUCGUAGCUGGCAUGAGAGGAUGGUCAGCCACACUGGAACUGAGACACGGUCCAGACUCCUACGGGGGGCAGCAGUGGGGAAUAUUGGUCAAUGGGCGCAAGCCGGAUCCAGCCAUACCGCGUGAGUGAAGAAGGCCUUCGGCUUGUAAAGCGCUUUUGUUGGGAAAGAAAAGCAGCAGGUUAAUAACCCGCUGUUCUGACGGUACCCAAAGAAUAAGCACCGGCUAACUUCGUG
rnacentral:rRNA from 1 species